UUUGCCAGCGCUUAACUGCGCGGCGAAAAACCUUACACACAGUGUCUUUUUGAUACAGAACUCUUGCUUUGGUUUGGCCUAGAGAUAGGUUGGGCCAGAGGUUUAACAAAACACAAUUUAAUUAUUUUUACAGUUAGUCAAAUUUUGAAUUAAUCUUCAAAACUUUCAACAACGGAUCUCUUGGUUCUCGCAUCGAUGAAGAACGCAGCGAAGUGCGAUAAGUAAUAUGAAUUGCAGAUUUUCGUGAAUCAUCGAAUCUUUGAACGCACAUUGCGCCCUCUGGUAUUCCAGAGGGCAUGCCUGUUUGAGCGUCAUUUCUCUCUCAAACCCCCGGGUUUGGUAUUGAGUGAUACUCUUAGUCGGACUAGGCGUUUGCUUGAAAAGUAUUGGCAUGGGUAGUACUGGAUAGUGCUGUCGACCUCUCAAUGUAUUAGGUUUAUCCAACUCGUUGAAUGGUGUGGCGGGAUAUUUCUGGUAUUGUUGGCCCGGCCUUACAACAACCAAACAAGCUUGACCUCAAAUCAGGUAGGAAUACCCGCUGAACUUAAGCAUAUCAAUAAGCGGAGGAA
rnacentral:sRNA from 1 species